UACAGAGGGCCCAAGCGUUGUUCGGAUUCACUGGGCGUAAAGGGUGCGCAGGUGGGUUUGCAAGUUCGAUGUGAAAGCCCCGGGCUUAACCCGGGAAUGGCAUUGGAUACUGCAGAUCUGGAGGAUCGGAGGGGGGACUGGAAUUCUUGGUGUAGCAGUGAAAUGCGUAGAUAUCAAGAGGAACACCAGUGGCGAAGGCGAGUCCCUGGACGAUACCUGACACUGAGGCACGAAAGCUAGGGGAGCAAACAGG
rnacentral:rRNA from 1 species